rnacentral:rRNA from 1 species
UACGUAGGGGGCAAGCGUUGUCCGGAUUUAUUGGGCGUAAAGAGCGUGUAGGCGGCCAGGUAGGUCCGCUGUGAAAACUCGAGGCUCAACCUCGAGAUGUCGGCGGAAACCAUCUGGCUAGAGUCCGGAAGAGGAGAGUGGAAUUCCUGGUGUAGCGGUGAAAUGCGCAGAUAUCAGGAAGGAACACCCGGUGGCGAAGGCGGCUUC